GGCCUGUGCAUCAAAGGGGUGAGACUUCGACCGUGCUUCUGCAGGGGCCGGCGGGGCUACGGGGCAGGUACCAGAUUUUGUAAGCUGGUGGCAGUGAAAUUUACAUCAGUGCCGAAUUGUGCACCUCCUCCUCAUUUUUAACGAAAUGUAAUAAAUUUUAUAAUGUUUUCUAUUUUUAUAUGCUCGGGCGGCAAGUAUUCUUCCUACUUGUGUGAUCGAUACAGGUUCUACUAUUAUUGUUUUAAACUCUUGGAAAUUUCAUCAGAUUCCUGAGACAGAUAGACCUGAAUUUACAAGUCGGUGAAAAAUAGCCGAUGGUAGUAUUAUACGCAUCCUGGAAAAGGCUGAAUUUAUUUUUGAUAUUGGUUUUAAAUUAUAAAA
rnacentral:lncRNA from 1 species